UACGGGGGGAGCAAGCGUUGUUCGGAUUUACUGGGCGUAAAGGGCGCGUAGGCGGUCGUGACAAGUCACUUGUGAAAUCUCCGGGCUUAACUCGGAACGGUCAAGUGAUACUGUCGGACUAGAGUACAGAAGGGGCAACUGGAAUUCUCGGUGUAGCGGUGAAAUGCGUAGAUAUCGAGAGGAACACCAGUGGCGAAGGCGAGUCCCUGGACAACACCUGACACUGAGGCACGAAAGCUAGGGGAGCAAACAGG
rnacentral:rRNA from 1 species